UACAGAGGUCCCAAGCGUUGUUCGGAUUCACUGGGCGUAAAGGGCGCGUAGGUGGUGGUGUAAGUCGGAUGUGAAAGCUCGGAGCUCAACUCCGAAAUGGCAUUGGAAACUACCCUGCUAGAGGAUUGGAGGGGGGACUGGAAUACUUGGUGUAGCAGUGAAAUGCGUAGAUAUCAAGUGGAACACCAGUGGCGAAGGCGAGUCCCUGGACAAUACCUGACGCUGAGGCACGAAAGCUAGGGGAGCAAACAGG
rnacentral:rRNA from 1 species